UGGCCAUGUCACUUUAAAACACUGAUUCCCAUAUAAUCACCAAUGUUCAGCAACAUCAAGUCUGGUCAGUACCUAGAUGGGUGACUACCUGGGAAUACCAGGUGCUGUAAG